rnacentral:lncRNA from 1 species
GCCUGGAGAAGAGGAGGUUAAGGGGUGAUAUGAUAGCCAUGUUCAAAUAUAUCAAAGGAUGUCACAUAGAGGAGGGAGAAAGGUUGUUUUCUGCUGCUCCAGAGAAGCGGACACGGAGCAAUGGAUCCAAACUACAAGAAAGAAGAUUCCACCUAAACAUUAGGAAGAACUUCCUGACAGUAAGAGCUGUUCGACAGUGGAAUUUGCUGCCAAGGAGUGUGGUGGAGUCUCCUUCUUUGGAGGUCUUUAAACAGAGGCUUGACAACCAUAUGUCAGGAGUGCUCUGAUGGUGUUUCCUGCUUGGCAGGGGGUUGGACUCGAUGGCCCUUGUGGUCUCUUACAACUCUAUGAUUCUAUUCUAUUCUAUUCUAUUCUAUUCUAUUCUAUUCUAAAUGAUUGUUCCUCUACAGCCUAAUGGUACGUUCCAUAAUUCUACUGCCUCCUCCUUCUUAUCUUGUAGCUCGCUCUUAGACUUAAUCAAGACAUGUAGAAUCAAAUUCAAGACACAGUCCUGCGAUAAAGUUCUACCACUUCAGGCUGCAGGGGAGGGAUGCCAGUUUUGAAUGCUGCUCAAGAACAAUAAAAACCUCCCUUCACAUUAUAAAUAGACACACUAGGCAGGGGACACGCUCCAGCUUAGCUCAUUCCUUGCUGUGUUACUUUUGUCCUUGCAGAGAAGCUUUCAAGAAUGAGCUUCCUAACCUCUGCAGCGUCCACAUUACCAGGAUUUGGCCCCAGCUCUAUUUCACUGCAUGAGUAGAUCUGGCCUUCCUUCUGAAGAAACGCUCUUAGGAUUCUUUCAACAAAUAUGCACUGCACCUUUAAAGGUAGGAGUGCUAACCAACACCUGGUCAGCAGUGUUGGGAAAAUGCACCUCAAGGGUUCCUUGCAUGCACAAGGUGUUAGUCACCCUGUUCUGGCUGGGAUCCUGCAAUGAUACGCCCAGUUUCUAUUCAAACAGGCCAACUUUUUGCUGCAAUUCUGCCUUAUGCUUCUUCUCCAAAGCUGCCCUGAGCAUACUUUGUGUGCUGGCUGGCUGUACUUGAGUCAAAUAUACAUAAAAGGCUUUCUUUAAAAAGCCAAAAACAAAAUGCAGCAUGUCCAGACCAGUGUAGUUUAAUGAAGAGUUCAAAAUAGGUUGUAAUUCCUAUGUUCCAUCCCUUACUCCUUUGCCAGAACAAAGUAGGCCGACCAAUGAGAAGGACUCUGGCAUUGUGUGGUGCUGUUCUCCAGCCAAGCAAGGGAUACAAAAAUGCCUAUGGGGAAGAGCGCAUUGGUAAAGGUCAGCAUAAAUCACCAGUGCUCAGAGAUCUGCACUGGUUGCCAAUUUGCUACUGAGCCAAGUUCAAGGUGUUUCUUAACAACUUGGGACCAGUUUACCUAUGAGAUCGCCUUACCCCAUAUUUGCCCACUCAACCACUGUGAUCAGUGGAAUUGGCACUACUGCGGGUGUCACGUAAUUCCUGCAUCCGCAUUUGUAAGUGUGCCAUCAUUUAGUGUGGCAGCCCUUACACUUUGGAACUCCUUGCCUAUUGAUACCUAACAGGCACUGUCACUGUAUUCUUUUCGGUGCCUGCUGGAAACAUUUUUGUUUAAACAAGCCUGCCUAGAUAUAUAGAAAGUUGAUGUGAGUUUUAAUUUGUUUCAAUCUGUGGUUGUGUUAACACUUUUUGUAGACUUUAAAUUACUGCUGUAGUGAUAAUUUUUAUAGUUUUAUCUUUUUUUGUAAACGGUUUUGAGUUGUCAUCCCCCCCCCCAAUCGAGCAGUGUAUACAUUUUAUGAGAUAAAUAAAAAAAAAGGGAAGGGAAAUGCUUGCAAAAUUUGCACAGACCUGAGAAAAUUUGCAGGGAAGCCAUGAAUUUUAAAGUUGCAUGAUAGUGCUUUUGCGGGGGGGGGGGGGGUGUCUGGAUUGGACCCGCCAGCUGGAAUAAAUUCCCCACUCCAGUUUAAAAGUGUUCAAGCAAAUGGAAAGGCAACUCAGCAGAAAGUAAUUUAAAACAAGCAAACAGCUAUAGCAGUUGUUCUUUUGUAGUGAGCGUUUUAGAACCAUAGACUCAAAAGGUGGUAGGGAGUCUAUCUUCAAAAAGACCAAACAUCAAAAACAAAGCCACACACUUUGCUAGAAAAUAAAAGGAGAGUGUUAUAAUAAAAGUAAUCAGUAGAUUAGGAUUUUGUUAGGUCACAUCCACAACUGUACCUUUGACACACAUUCAGAUCUUUCUCCAAACUGCAGUUGCCAAGAUUCUUUGGGGGAAACUACAACUGUUCCAAGUGUCCCUAUUUUCCGGGGACAGUUCUGAAAUUACAAAAGCCACCCCAGCUUCUGAUAUGAUGCUGGAAUGCCCCUGUUUCCCCUGCCAGGGCUGCCACCACCGAACUGGAGGAGGAGGAGGAGGAGGAGCCAGUGCUUGUUCUCAGUGGUGGGGAGGGGCCACUGCUGCCAUUGAGACCCAGCCUCAGCCUCACGUGACGCACCGGCUCUGGGGGGCAGGCAGGGCAGGGCUGCCCUGGGCAGGAAGGAAGGCGGAGCAGAGCACAAACCAAGGCUUUGUGCAUCCACAUCUAAGCUUGCCCCUUUCUAAAAUUUAUUUGUUGAUGUGUGUUUUUGUAAUUCUACCAAAGAAGAAAAUUAAAUCAGAAUCAAUGGGUUUUCUCCGGAGGCUGGAGGGUGUGUGCGCUGUGUCCUGCUGGUGCAGCCGUGUGGGAAAUGCUCAAGGGGUGUGUGACAAAAAUGUGGGGUCGAGGAGGGUCAGUUGCAGGGAUGGGGAGUGAGAAAUGUCCCUAUUUUCAUUUGAGGAAUGUUGUAGAGUAUGCUAUAAUUACAUUGUGAUUUUACCAGGGGGUCACAUCCUUCCAGAGCACAGUGUAAGAAUGAGCAAGAAGCUGCAAAGCCAGACUCCUGUAAGCACAAAGUAUUAGUGGAAGUCAGUGCUAAAUAAAGUGACCAUUCUGCGUCACAACAUAAUUUAAUUUAUUUCUAUAUUGCCCUUCCUCCCAUGGGAGCCCAGGGCAAUGCUCUGCAUAAAAAUACAAUCUAUGCAAUAAAAACAUUCUUUAAAAAUACAUUUCUAAAGCUAAAAUCACAAAGCAAUACCAACUGCUGAAAUUUCAGUUGACAUCCAUGCCCCAAAGGCAAACAAAUAUGUCUCCCAAUUUGUGUCUGAACACCGUCAUUUUUUUAGACAUGAAGAUGCACUGCCUCACCUGUGAGGAGAACCUGUGGUCCUCCAGACUAACUCCCACCAGUUCCAGUCAGUAUGGUCAAUGGCCAAGAAUGAUGAGAGUAAAGUCCAACAACGUCUAGAGGGCACCAGGUUGGGGAAGCCUACUAUAUAAUCUUGGUGUUCAUCCCUAGAUAUGUGGAAUGUCGGGAUUCCACAUCCUAUCACAUGUUCAGCUGUUAACCAAACAAAUAUUUUCUCUCUCUUUUUAAAUGCACAAAAAUAAGCCAAUUUAUGACCAGUGGAACUUGCAAGAAUUUUUUGGGCAGCCCCCCUGUGGCUGCAGCAGAGAGUGCAGAAACUACUAACAACCCAAAAAUUCUGAAGGACAGUUAAGUGACAAAGUGGUCUCUAGUCCAUGGAAGCUUGCCCUGUAGCCAAUGUAUCAUCAACCUUCAGUGAACUCUGGUGGGUUUUUCCAACUCUAUUCAUUUCAUUCUUAUGCAACAUGGAAUCAUAAAAGCCUUAUUAGCAGAGGUGGAUUAAUUAUCUCAAAAGCUGAGCGGCUGAGAACAUUGGUGGUGGAGGCAACCGUGCCAAGGUUAAAUCGCAGCUGGAGUUCUUUGCAAGCGGCCUGGUGUCAGCUUGCGGCAACCCUGAGCAGCUGCUGGGAUCAUAGCGCCCUGGCCGGGCCCUAGGAGAGUCAGAGGCCGCAGCUCAGUGGUAGAGCUCCUGCUUUGCAUGCGCAAGGUCCCAGGGUCAAUCCCCAGCAUCUCCAUGUAGAGAGAGAAUAUAUACCAUUAGUUCAUCGAGUUCGGUAUUAAGUACCCAUAAAGCUCAGUAUAAGGCUGCUUCUUAUGUUACCAUUGCUGACCGCCGUUAAAAAACAUUUCCAGUGCUCCCAGUGAGUUCUGGGCAGGUGGAGCCGAGGGAUUCACAUUUAAAUACCCACCCCAAACCCCUGACUUAUCACUCAAAGGCAUUGUGGGAAAUAAAAAUAGUAGUUUGCUCAGAUUCAGCUGGUGAUGCUCAGCUCUGCUCACUGGCACCCUCCGACGUAGGAGGGGAGCUGCCACCACCCCAAAUCUGAAGGGGAGCCUGUUUACAGUCACACUUUGGAAUGAUACACGUGCAAAUGAAUGUGGGAAGCAUUUUCCUUUAUUUCUGUGAACUGGGGUUUGGCUUCCGACCCUGGGUCAAAUUGUUUUCCAAAGUGCGAAAUCACAGUUAAAACCUAAUCUUGUGGUUGGUGCACAACCCUAACCCAAAUGGGUCCUUCUGCAGGGGAGCUUCCAUGAAAUGUUGAUGAGAAAAUACUGGUGGGUAUGUUGCACCCAUAGCAGCAGAUGAUUAGGCAACUGAGGAUGCAAUUCCAACCCCACUUGCUUGAGAUUAAGUCCCAUUGAAUUCAAUAUGAUUUACCUCCGAGCAGAAACAGUCAGGCUUGCACUGUAAAUCAUGACAAACAAUGUCUCUGUUUUUCUGCAGAAUUGCUCUGCACAGCUACAGAGGGUCUGAAUAUGAGUCAGAGAUUAUAGUUCCUCUCUCUCCCUAGUGAAGACAAAUGCCUGAUCAUACGACAAGCUAUGCAAGUGUUGAAUUAUCUGUGGGCUCUAGUCAUUCUUCAUGUCUGAAGCAAGGCAGCAGCAGCAUGUCAUAAAGACCCAAAUUCUGCAAUGAAAUGGCAGUUCCCUGCCCAUAUUUCCUCCUUUAUUCCUUUCUGUAUCUACAUCCCACCCAUGAAGAGUUAUGACUUUAGUCCAGGCUUGCAGGAAAAUAAAGCUUUAUUUCAUAAUAAGGAUGAACGUGGCCUGAAUAUAAAUGCAUGGAAAUACAGAAGCUCCAUUAAGUAAUGCCAUCAUGGGAUAUGAUUUAAAAUACCAACCAAACAGGUCCAGAUGAAGAAUGUUUUGUGACACAAACUUCAGGUUCUAAGUUUUUGAGGCCAAGUAUUACCUUCCAAGGAGGUAGAGGUGUUAGGAACCUUGAGUGGAUCUAAACACAGGAAAGAAACGCUAUAAAUAAGUCAGAAAUUAGAUCGUUUUAACAAAAUAAAAAACUUGCUAUGAGAAAUGUCAUUUUAAACAA